AGUAAAUACAUUGCUAAUAAAUUUGCGACGAACGUCAUCUUGAUCUUUCCCAUGUCUAAUUACUCCAUUGGCAUCAAAAAUUGAAUUUUGAAGAUUAACUUUUGGUAAAGACUACCUAUCGUAGUCCGAUACAGUGCAAAACAUCGGACCGAUCCGGCACCGUCAGAUUCCCAUUACAUCACUCGGCGCGCAUGCAUCCAGGUUUCAUGCUAAAAUAAAGGUCGCACGUUGCCCACCUCACCCAUAAUUCCGGUUAGCUCCUCCCAAACUGAUCACUAAAAUCCCGCUCGAUUCGCUCCUCCAAAAAAAGUUGCUGCGUCCGCCUCGUGUAGUCGUCGUCGCCGCCACCCUGAUCGUCGGUGGCCUGUGGUCUAGAGUCGAUCGGGGCGGCAUAGCCAGGCCGGCAAGGGUGUAGUACUGACUCCAGACAAAGCAGCCUGUCGGAGAUUGCUUCCUUGAACAUCUAUACAAAUCGGAUAUAUAGGUAAUUCAAACUAAAUUUGAUCAUCGUUUAUGCUGAAUUACCAUAAAGUUGCUGCUCCUUUCUGGCUUGAUCUCGUAGUCAGCUUGGAGCUGCUCUGAUCUUACCGUGGCGGUUGAUCUGGUCUUGCCGUAACGGCACUACUCCGAUCUGACGGUGUGGCUCGCCAACAACGACAUCCAUAUGGAUUGAUCGGACGGGAGAAUGCAUCCUCCACACCAACCAGUCGAUGCUAUCAACAGUAUUGGGACUGCAUUCUGCCUACAAAUCCUAGCCAAGUCAUCAAUGAAUUUCAUCCAGAUGGCGUGGCUUAUGUUCAACGAGGAAGACCAACAGCAGAAGCAAGCGAGCAUGCGGCGUGUCAUUCAAGGGCUAAAGCCUCAUGGAAUGAUGUCUCCAUGCGCCAAAGGAAAUGAACCAAGUGUUUGUAACACAUUGUUGCUUAUGCAUCUAUAAAACAUACCGUCUUGUAGAAUGAAGCAAAUUUGUUGUAUGUAGGAAGCGUAUGAAAGUGCAACACUGCUAUUUUUGAUAACUUGAAGGAAGCAAAUACGUAUAUUGUCUGAAAUAUGUCAAAUGAAUGUAUGAAGCACUAAAAUGUACUCCAAGUCUCCAAGUAUAGGAAUGAAUCUUCCACAAAAAAAAGAAAAUAUUGCAGGUUUCCUUA